rnacentral:rRNA from 1 species
GACGAACGCUGGCGGCAUGCUUAACACAUGCAAGUCGAACGGAAAGGCCCUGCUCUAGUGGGGUACUCGAGUGGCGCACGGGAGAAUAACACGUGGGUAACGUGCCCUUGACUUUGGGAUGACUUCAACAAACUGGGGGUAAUAACGCAUAGGAGCCAGUGCUGCAUGGUGGGGGUUGGAAAGUUUAGGCGGUUGGGGAUGAACUCGCGGCUUAUCAGCUUGUUGGUGGGGUAGUGGCUUACCAAGACUUUGACGGGUAGCCGGCCGGGGAGGGUGACCGGCCACAGUGGGGCUGAGAUGCCACCGACACUACUACUGGAGGCAGCAGUGGGGGAUAUUGCACCAUGGUCGGAAGCCUGAUGCAGCACCGCCGCUUGGGGGAUGACGAACUUCGGAUUGUCAGCCGCUUUCGCCUGUGGCGAAGCAGGAGUGACGGUAAUGGGUAAAGAAGCACCGGCUAACUACGUG